UACGUAGGGUGCGAGCGUUGUCCGGAAUUAUUGGGCGUAAAGAGCUCGUAGGCGGUGUGUCGCGUCGGCCGUGAAAACUUGGGGCUUAACCCUGAGCUUGCGGUCGAUACGGGCAUGACUGGAGUUCGGCAGGGGAGACUGGAAUUCCUGGUGUAGCGGUGAAAUGCGCAGAUAUCAGGAGGAACACCGGUGGCGAAGGCGGGUCUCUGGGCCGAUACUGACGCUGAGGAGCGAAAGCGUGGGGAGCGAACAGG
rnacentral:rRNA from 1 species